rnacentral:rRNA from 1 species
GUGAGGAAUAUUGGACAAUGGGCGCAAGCCUGAUCCAGCCAUGCCGCGUGCAGGAAGACGCAUCUAUGGUGUGUAAACUGCUUUUGUACGGGAAGAAACACUCCCUCGUGAGGGAGCUUGACGGUACCGUAAGAAUAAGGAUCGGCUAACUCCGUGCCAGCAGCCGCGGUAAUACGGUGGAUCCAAGCGUUAUCCGGAAUCAUUGGGUUUAAAGGGUCCGUAGGCGGUUUAAUAAGUCAGUGGUGAAAGCCAAUCGCUCAACGAUGGAACGGCCAUUGAUACUGGUAGACUUGAAUUACAAGGAAGUAACUAGAAUAUGUAGUGUAGCGGUGAAAUGCUUAGAUAUUACAUGGAAUACCAAUUGCGAAGGCAGGUUACUACUUGUGGAUUGACGCUGAUGGACGAAAGCGUGGGGAGCGAACAGGAUUAGAAACCCGUGUAGUCC